rnacentral:misc_RNA from 1 species
UUAAGUUCAGCGGGUAGUCCUACCUGAUUUGAGAUCAAACAUUCAAAAGAAGCCCCCUCCUCACUGAGGAGAGACCUUUAUGAGCUCCAGCGAACCUCCAUCACUGAAGGUUACCUGAUGGAAAACCACAAGCGUAGAUAGUUAUCACACCUGCGAUGCCACCAAACACUGGCAAGCUGAUUCGUUUAAGAGGAGCCGAC